AUUGAACGCUGGCGGCAGGCCUAACACAUGCAAGUCGAGCGGAUGAAGGGAGCUUGCUCCUGGAUUCAGCGGCGGACGGGUGAGUAAUGCCUAGGAAUCUGCCUGGUAGUGGGGGAUAACGUCCGGAAACGGGCGCUAAUACCGCAUACGUCCGAGGGAGAAAGUGGGGGAUCUUCGGACCUCACGCUAUCAGAUGAGCCUAGGUCGGAUUAGCUAGUUGGUGGGGUAAAGGCCUACCAAGGCGACGAUCCGUAACUGGUCUGAGAGGAUGAUCAGUCACACUGGAACUGAGACACGGUCCAGACUCCUACGGGAGGCAGCAGUGGGGAAUAUUGGACAAUGGGCGAAAGCCUGAUCCAGCCAUGCCGCGUGUGUGACGAAGGUCUUCGGAUUGUAAAGCACUUUACGUUGGGAGGAAGGGCAGUAAGUUAAUACCUUGCUGUUUUGACGUUACCAACAGAAUAAGCACCGGCUAACUUCGUG
rnacentral:rRNA from 1 species